UGUUUUCAGUACAAUUCGAGCUAUCGUCGACGGAGCGUCGGUGUUUUGUGUAUGGGAGAAGAAGAAUAGAGAGUGGAAUAGAGCCCAAUCGACUGUGUUAGUGUGCGUAUGUUAAUAUGUACAUACUUGUACGUGCCUUUCGUGUGUUUUCUGUGAUCUAGUUUCUCGAAAACGUGACACGACGUUCGGAGGAAUCUCGCGUGAUGUUCCGAAAGUGAUUUCGAAAAUUGACGAUCCUCCAUUCUUCCUCUCCUAAACCUAGUCCUUUUCCUUCUUCGUACCUUCAAUCAUCAAAGUCAUCAUCAAAGUUUCUCAUCAUUUAAGAAUCUUUUUCAACUUGCUCAAUUUAUGUACACCGACGAACAAUUCGGAUCUUCAAAUUCGUAACGAUACCAAAGAGUAGAAGAUAGAGCAUGCUAAUUAAAAGAUGGACCUCAUCGAGCUGUAUCAUCCUAUUUUGUCUCAUUGGCACGAUAUCAAAUACCUUCGGAAACCCGAUCCGGGAAAGGCAGAAACGAGAAGCGGAAAUUGCCGCGACAAAUUGGACGAAACUAGCGGACGAAUGGCUAAAAGAGAGAGCAAGAGCCUCGGAAAAUUUUGAUGUUGCACUUUUACCCUUUAAUAAUAGAUUUCGAAAACUACCACCAACCGCAGAUAAUAUCGUUGUUAACGAAACUAAUCCCGAUCGAUUAGCACGGUUUAAUUAUUCACGAAUGCUAUGGGACAUGGAAAGCGUACAACCGAGCGGACACCUGUCAUUAUUCGUGGAUAAGGCAUUGAAGUUACUCGAUUUAAGGCAAGUGAUGACGGAAGUUGAAACUUCGGUGAUGUCAAAGGUUUCAUGUACGGCAUGUAAAGUCGGUGCUGGUUUGCUUCAGAAUUAUAUAAAAAAUGGCAAGAGUGAUAAAGAGAUCAUGGGGAGUAUAUAUCAAUUCUGUGUCUCCCUUAAUAUACAAAGUCCACGGGUUUGUGAAGGUGUCACUUUGGUAUUUGGAGCCGAAGUAAUUUAUGUUUUAAAACAAGUUGACAUGGGUCCAUCUCAAAUUUGUAGUUUCGUUAUCGGUGAUGCUUGCGAGGAUGCUUAUAAUCCUCUGCACGAAUGGGAAGUAGCUUUUCCACCUGUAAAGAAACCACCAGUAAAACCACCUGUACCACCGCAAGAAAAUGCACCAACAUUCAAAGUUUUACAUCUUUCCGAUACUCACUUUGAUCCUUAUUAUCAAGAAGGUGCAAACGCUGAUUGUAAUGAACCAUUAUGCUGCAGACUUACGAAUGGAGCUCCUUUAAUACCAUCAGCUGCAGCAGGCAGGUGGGGUGAUUACAGAAAGUGUGACACUCCAAAAAGAACUGUCGAUCAUAUGUUGAAACAUAUCGCUGAAACACAUCCCGAUAUCGAUUAUAUAUUAUGGACCGGUGAUUUACCACCUCACGAUGUAUGGAAUCAGACAAGAGAAGAGAAUCUUAAGGUUCUACAUGAUACCGUUAUGCAAAUGAUUCAAAUGUUCCCAGGUGUACCUAUAUUUCCAGCAUUAGGAAACCAUGAAAGUGCACCGGUUAAUAGCUUUCCACCACCCUUCGCACCCGAAGAAAAUAGUAUAUCGUGGCUCUACGAUGCACUGGAUAAACAUUGGAGACGUUGGUUACCUGCUGGUGUCUCACAUACGGUUCGAAGAGGGGCCUUUUAUUCGGUCUUGGUGCGGCCAGGAUUUCGAAUUCUCUCUGUGAAUAUGAAUUAUUGUAAUAAUAAAAAUUGGUGGCUUUUAAUUAACAGUACCGAUCCAGUUAGUGAAUUGCAAUGGCUCGUCUAUGAACUACAAGGUGCUGAAAUGAACGGUGAAAAGGUACAUAUAAUUGGUCAUAUACCUCCUGGUCACUCGGAUUGUUUGAAAGUAUGGUCCAGGAAUUAUUAUCACAUAAUCAAUCGAUAUGAAUCUACCAUUACGGCACAAUUUUUCGGACACACGCAUUACGACGAGUUUCAAGUAUUCUACGAUACUCAAGAUCUUCGAAGAGCUUUAAGUAUAGCUUAUUUAGGACCUUCAGUAACACCUUAUUACGAUCUCAAUCCGGGAUAUCGAAUAUAUUACGUUGAUGGAGAUCAUCCAAAAACAACUAGGAUGGUCGUCGAUCAUGAGAGUUGGGUGAUGAAUUUAAAAGAGGCAAAUCUUUAUGAUUAUCCUAUCUGGAGUAAAAUGUACAGUGCUAGACAAGCAUAUCAAAUGGCAUCGCUCCUCCCAAAGGAUUGGGAUUCGUUAAUCGAUAAAAUGUCUAACGAACCUUCUCUUUUUGAUCUUUAUUACAAACAUUAUUAUAAGAAUUCUCCUGUACGACCGUCGUGUGACGACGAAUGUCGGAAACGUCUAUUGUGCGAUCUAAGAAGUGGGAGAAGCCAUGAUCGUAAAGCAUUGUGCCAAAGCAUCGAAUCAAGAAUCGACAAUGAAACGAGAACAGGAUGGAGAGCAUGGAUCUAUAGCGGUUUGGCAUUAUCGUACGUAGAUAAAUGGUGGCAUAAUAAUUAUAACGGAGACAUUAGAACUAACAGCGUUAAUUUAUAAUUUUUCGCAUAUGCACACUAUCACUAUUGUUUAAACAUAACGCUAAAAAAUUCUUUAUAUGCAAUACUCUUAUGUGCUUCUCUGCACUCGCUAAAACCAAUAUAAUGAAUGCUUUUUUAAGUAACGAUUAACCAUAGGAACUACACGUGCGAUGGGAAAGAAAUCAUAUAAUAUCGUAUUAAUGAUUUGAUUGAUCUCUUUAUUAAUUAUUGGAUAUUUUCUAUAUCUGUAAUAUUGCGAGUUAUUAGGACAGUUAAAUAUUGGUUUAAUUUAGUUAUUAUCUAAGAAUUAUUUUCUCUUGCAUUAUACUUUUUUAGGGUUUCUAUAGAUGUAAUAUUUUUAUUUAACGGCGAAAUAUGGUUAUAUAAAUAUAUUUUUAUGAAAUAUAAAUAUAUUUUUACAAAAUAUUUAUACUUUCAUAUGAAAGAACGAAUAAAAUGAAAAUUGUUUUAAUGUUUAGAAUAAAUAAUAACUGUAACGAACAAAUCAAUAAUUAGAAUAAGAUUACUUUUAUUGGACCAUUAAGUUUAUUAAAGAAACUAUAUAUAUAUAUAUAUAUAUAAUAUAAUGUUAACUUGUGUAUAUAAUACAUUUAAUAUUAACAAAGUUAAUAUUAAACAAAAUUAACAACAAUAUAAUUGUUAUUCUAUAACAGAAAUUUUAUUAAUUUAUUUAUUUAUUGAAUUAUCAUUAAUUUGGCAUGCUUACCUUAUAUGAUCGUUUAAAUGAAUAAUAUGUAUAAAUUUUCUCUUUAUCUACAAAAUAGGUGAGUAAUUAUAAAUAAUUAUGAUUUCAAUUCAAAGACUAUUUGCAUGUUAGAAAACGCAAAUUUAUUGAUGUGGACAGAAUAGUAUAAUAUAUAUAUAAAUAUAUAAUUAAAUUUAUCUAUGUUUCAGACGUGUCUUUGCAUAUAAAUGCAUAGGUUUCUUAUGCUCGAAUAAUAGUUCAAACUAGCACAAAUAAGUAGAAAGAUGUAUUAUAAAUCAAUAAUAUAUAUUACAGGUUUCCGUAUUGUUAAUUCUAUAUAUAUGUACAUUCAAAUGCUCUUUCUAUUUCUAAUGAUCAUUUUUGAUGACAAUUUUCACAUUUUGGCACCUAACAUUUGUAAAUAGUUUUGCAAUUUAGAUAUAUUUAUUACACUGGUGAUGGAUCAUAAUAUGGUGAUUGGUACAUACUAUCAUCGCAUAUUAUCUAUUUUUAAAAUGUCCGUCGUUAUGGCUAUUCCUAGAUUCGCAUACAAUCUACCCAAGUACGUUCUAGGUCUUGGAUAGAAGAAAUUUCAAGUGAUAUGUGUAGAACAAAAAAAAAGAGAUUCAAACUGUUGUGAUAAGUUAUCAAAGAGAAUCAAAGAAUACAAAGUUCGUAAAGAAAAAAGAAAAAACUGCAAAGGAAUAUACAGAAAUAUAGUGUUAAUUUUUAUUAAGAACGAUAAUUUUAAGAACUCACUCAAAAUGAUAUUGGCCGAUCGGCUUAUCAUUAAUUUUAUAUUGUUGAUCCUCGAUCGACUAUAUAAAUUUUUAAAAGUUUAAAAUAUGUUUGAUUUUUUCGAUGAUAAUUUUAUUUAUUUAAUAAAACCACACAGAGAUUUAUUUUGCGACGAUAUGUGAACCUCUGAUACCUCAAUUUUAAUUUAUUAUGGUAAUAAAGAGUAUAAAAGAAUUAUAAAAAAACAAAAACAAAAAAGAGGUCGAGAAUGAUCGAGGAAGAAUUGUAAAUUAGUUGUUAAUAAUGCCUCAACUCAAGUAGUCAAAUAUAUACGUAACCAACGUGUAUUAUAUUACCUGUUUAGAUAAUUUUCUAUUCUAACGGUGUAAAGAGCGUAUCCAUGAUAUAUAUUCCUAUUAGGAAUCUUAAAUUUAUAAAUAUUUAACAUUAAGUGAAUGUCUGACUAUACUAAUGUUUUAAAUUUCUUCGAACAAAUGAGUAUUUACAAAGAUCAAUUUGGUCUCAAUGCAUGUUACAUUGAUUAUUUAUUAUUGAAUAAAAAAAAUUAUUUUUUA